UAUAGUAGCCAUAUCACCCUGCAACUCACAACUGGCAACCCACUGAAGCUAAGCAGGUGUGAGCCUGGUCAGUACCUGGAUGGGAGACCUCCUGGGAAAAACUAAGGCUGCUGCUGGAA
ensembl:rRNA 5S_rRNA 5S ribosomal RNA